rnacentral:rRNA from 1 species
AGAGUUUGAUCCUGGCUCAGGAUGAACGCUGGCGGCAUGCCUAAUACAUGCAAGUCGAACGAGAGGAAGGAAAGCUUGCUUUUCUGAAUCUAGUGGCGAACGGGUGAGUAACACGUAGGUAACCUGCCCAUGUGCCCGGGAUAACUUCUGGAAACGGAUGCUAAAACCGGAUAGGUAGCAGACAAGCAUUUGACUGCUAUUAAAGUGGCUAAGGCCAUGAACAUGGAUGGACCUGCGGUGCAUUAGCUAGUUGGUGAGGUAACGGCCCACCAGGGCGACGAUGCAUAGCCGGCCUGAGAGGGCGGACGGCCACAUUGGGACUGAGACACGGCCCAAACUCCUACGGGAGGCAGCAGUAGGGAAUUUUCGUCAAUGGGGGGAACCCUGAACGAGCAAUGCCGCGUGAGUGAGGAAGGUCUUCGGAUCGUAAAGCUCUGUUGUAAGAGAAAAACGACAUUCAUAGGGAAUGAUGAGUGAGUGAUGGUAUCUUACCAGAAAGUCACGGCUAACUACGUGCCAGCAGCCGCGGUAAUACGUAGGUGGCGAGCGUUAUCCGGAAUGAUUGGGCGUAAAGGGUGCGUAGGUGGCAGAACAAGUCUGGAGUAAAAGGUAUGGGCUCAACCCGUACUGGCUCUGGAAACUGUUCAGCUAGAGAACAGAAGAGGACGGCGGAACUCCAUGUGUAGCGGUAAAAUGCGUAGAUAUAUGGAAGAACACCGGUGGCGAAGGCGGCCGUCUGGUCUGUUGCUGACACUGAAGCACGAAAGCGUGGGGAGCAAAUAGGAUUAGAUACCCUAGUAGUCCACGCCGUAAACGAU